GACGAACGCUGGCGGCGUGCUUAACACAUGCAAGUCGAACGGAAAGGCCCUGCUUUUGUGGGGUGCUCGAGUGCGAACGGGGGAGUAACACGUGAGUAACCUGCCCCUGACCUUGGGAUAACUUCAGGAAACUGGGGCUAAUACCGGAUAGGAGCUCCUGCUGCAUGGGGGGGGUUGGAAAGUUUCGGCGGUUGGGGAUGGACUCGCGGCUUAUCAGCUUGUUGGUGGGGUAGUGGCUUACCAAGGCUUUGACGGGUAGCCGGCCUGAGAGGGUGACCGGCCACAUUGGGACUGAGAUACGGCCCAGACUCCUACGGGAGGCAGCAGUGGGGAAUAUUGCACAAUGGGCGGAAGCCUGAUGCAGCAACGCCGCGUGCGGGAUGACGGCCUUCGGGUUGUAAACCGCUUUCGCCUGUGACGAAGCGUGAGUGACGGUAAUGGGUAAAGAAGCACCGGCUAACUACGUG
rnacentral:rRNA from 1 species